AUACGUAGGGGGCGAGCGUUGUCCGGAAUGAUUGGGCGUAAAGGGCGCGUAGGCGGCGCGGUAAGUCUGGAGUGAAAGUCCUGCUUUCAAGGUGGGAAUUGCUUUGGAUACUGUCGGGCUUGAGUGCAGGAGAGGUAAGUGGAAUUCCCAGUGUAGCGGUGAAAUGCGUAGAGAUUGGGAGGAACACCAGUGGCGAAGGCGACUUACUGGACUGUAACUGACGCUGAGGCGCGAAAGUGUGGGGAGCAAACAGGAUUAGAUACCCUGGUAGUCCACACCGUAAACGAUGAAUGCUAGGUGUAGGGGGUAUCGACCCCUUCUGUGCCGCAGUCAACACAAUAAGCAUUCCGCCUGGGGAGUACGGCCGCAAGGUUGAAACUCAAAGGAAUUGACGGGG
rnacentral:rRNA from 1 species